AUGGCGAGCGGCACGAGGGGUGUCGCCGCGGCGACUAUCUCGCUCGCCGUCCUGCUCCUAGUCUUUUGCUUCUCGCCCAGCACGGCCGCCGCCGCCGCCGUCCCCAGCAUCGACGCCACGUGGACGCGCCACCUGCCGCUGCCACGCGGACUGCUGCGCGGCCCGGAGAGUGUCGCCUUCGACGCCAAAGGCCAGGGUCCAUACAGCGGCGUGUCCGACGGCCGCGUGCUUAAGUGGAACGGCGACACGCUCGGCUGGUCGACGUACACCUACAACCCCGACUACAGCAGCGAGGCGUGCACGGCGUCUCUCCUUCGCCCGGAGACUGCCACCGAGGGCCACUGCGGCCGGCCGCUCGGUCUGCGGUUCCACCUCAAGUCCGGGUACCUGUACAUCGCUGACGCCUACAAGGGGCUCAUGAGGGUCGCGCCAGGCGGCGGGGAGGCGACUGUGCUUGUCACGGAGGUUGACGGCGUACCUCUCCGCUUCACCAACGGGGUGGAUAUCGACCAGGUAACCGGCGAGGUCUACUUCACGGACAGCUCCAGGAAUUACAAUAGGUCGCAACAUGAGAUGGUGACAAGAACCGGAGACUCGACGGGUCGGCUACUCAGGUAUGACCCACGGACAGGAAAGGCCGUCGUGCUCCAGGCCGACGUCACUUACCCCAAUGGCCUCGCCAUCAGCGCUGAUCGAACACAUCUAAUUAUCUCAUCGACCGGGCCGUGUAAGCUGCUACGAUACUGGAUCAAGGGCUCCAAGGCGGGCACCAUGGAGCUAUUCGCCGACCUCCCUGGCUAUCCAGACAAUGUGAGGCCCGACAAGAAAGGAAGAUACUGGGUGGCACUACACCGUGAGAAGGCUGAGCUCCCCUUUGGCGUUGAUAGCCACCUGCUAGCAUUGAGGAUUGAUGCCGAUGGAAAAAUAAUCGAGGAGAUGCGGGGACCGAAGGGUGUGAGGCCAACCGAGGUGGUGGAGAGGAAAGGUGGCAGACUGUUCAUGGGAUCCGUCGAGCUUCACUAUGUGUCCGUCGUCACGCGCAAAUAG
rnacentral:rRNA from 1 species